AUGGAUUUCAUAUCAUGGUUACCCUCCUCUGACCAAUAUGACUGCAUUAUGGUGGUUAUAGACAAGUUCACUAAAUAUGGGCAUUUCAUUCCUGUCAAGCAUCCAUAUACUGCCCAGAAGAUUUCUGAACUGUUUUUGGACAAUAUCUACAAACUCCAUGGCAUGCCUCGUUAUAUUGUGUCAGAUCGAGAUCCUGUGUUCACCAGCAACUUUUGGUAG
rnacentral:rRNA from 1 species